CUGUUGUUAUGUAGUUUUAUAUCCAUUUACUCUAUGAGAAGGAAGUCUAUGAAGCAUUGGGAUGAUCACUAAACAUGAUAUGUGUUAUCAUUAGACUAAAAUCACUUACUAACCUUGUCUGUGCAAAGUUAUAAUCUAUAUAACUCCCGUCAUGAUAAUGUGAAGUUGGCAAACCUGUUCACUUUCAUGUGAUACUGUAUAUGCAAGGAUACCAGACAGGAACGUAACGUAACGCAACUAUGCCGUUUACAUACAGUAGGGAAAAAAAUGCAUAACUGAAAGUGGCUAGAACAGAAAUCAUACUACUAAAGACAUGAUUUAGACAACUUCAAUGCAGAAAAAGCACAUUUUAUGUACAGUAUAAUUAACACAAGCUCUUAUCAAAAACUAGAUUCACAUUUCUGCUUUUAAGACUUUUGUCUUGCCCCAUACACUUUCUAAAUGCAUCACUGUACUGUAAUUAUGUUCUGUGGUAAUUGACAUCAUAUCACGUGCUGUAGUUCUAGACUACAGAACAUGCCUGUUCCUUUAUAUGCAAAUGACCUCUGUUCUAAUUGGCUAACUCUUGAACAGUCUAGAUGGACUGGUUAGAAUAUGUCAAUGAAUGUACAGUGAAAAUAUCAAGAUCCCUUUAAAAGUCCAGUGCAGAUAAGCGAGGUCUGUGUUUCCAUGUGCGUCCGUGAUUGAGUUUGCGCUGUACUGUGACUGGCUGUGAUUGGGGAUCUGGUGUCAUUGGCUCGUUUGCACUGAUUAAAGCGUCUUUGUGCCGACUGUAAACUCCCGCCGUAUGGAGGAGAAAUGUGUGUGUGUGUGUGUGUGUGUGUGCUGCUCUCCCUGCUGGUCCGAAUUACGGCUGAGUACAUUACUAUGAUUUACAACUUCCUCCUGCUGUUUAGAUUGAAAAGAAAGAGAGAGAGUGAGGGAGAGAGAGAGAGAGAGUGUGAUGGCCCGUCCGCCCUGCCCCCUCGCCCCGCUACCACCACACAUCUUUUGUGAAAUGAAAACAAAGCGCGAGCCUGCCAAAAUAUUUCUAUAGUCGAUUGCUGAGCAAGCAGAGAGUCUGUCAGAAAACAAAAGGCGAGAGAGAUCACUGGACGGCCAGAUUUGAUGCCACAGCAAAACUCACAUUCUCUCACAAACCGCCCUGAAAGUCUCUGAUCAUUGGCCGAAUCUCAUUAAACCCUCCAGAACAUGUCCAGCUCAUAUUUAACCACGCCGUUUAUAUUUUGCAUAAAGACAAUGAAGCCAAUUUGAGGAUCAUUAGGAUUUUUUUGCAUUGCAUGACAUUAUUUUCAUGGCAAUUAAGGACAUUUACCCUCAAACUCUCAUUACUGUAAUGCAACAUUAGUUGCAUUUUAUUAUUUGCAUGCGGCAUUGUUUUUUCCCUGUUGUUCGUGACCCAUCAGAACAGACCGGUUGCAUGCAUUGUGGUAGUAUUUGUGUAAUGCUUUUACAUUUUAAGGGAAAAAUGCAUUUUGCAAUUUUUUGCUAUGCUGAUUUAAAUAAAAAAUAGAAUGAGAUUCAUUGCUAAAAAAAAUGCAAAACAUCUGAAUGCAUUAAAAUAAUGAUCAUUUGGUGGAAAAUGUGUUUGAUUACCAUGAAAAUAAUAUCACACAAUGCAAAAAGUCUGAACGUAGGCUUCAUUUGCUUUAUGCAAAAUGUGAUUUCUUGCUUCUUUCUUUAAUUUUAGGGCUGAAUUAUGAGCUAGACGUGUGGUUUCAUGAGAUUCACCCCAUCAGUCUUUGGCUGUUUGGAAUAUUUCUCUGACACUGGACUGUUAACAAAUGCAUCCGAGUGUUUAUUAGAGUGUUGCCAAGUCCUCUGAUAUCCUUCAUUUGUGCCGUGAGUGAUAGUGAUGGCUGUGAAAGUACUUUUGAUUUCAUCCUUGAUGUCAUACAGUGAAAGUGUAUCACUUCUCACAGCGCCGCUCGUGUUUAAAGCAGACAGAUAAACAUUUCCUCAACUGCUCAUGUCUUGUGUGCUUUUUGUUUAUUCAUUUUGCUCUACUUUACUAAUUCCCCACAUAACACUUUAGUCAUUAGUUGUUCUUUCAGAUGAAGAUGGAACGUCACUGUAGCAACAUUUUCCCUGUGUGAAACAAAAACGAAACUUUGUUUCGAAGGAUGUCAUGAAGCCUCUGUGAUCUUGGUGUCUUUUGAUGUGAUUAUUUCAUGAGAAAACGUUGCAUUUUUCCUUUAAAAUGUCAUUAACAUCACCACUUUCAGCACAGAAUGCUAAACAAAUUAAAUGAACUAGUGAAGAACUUUAGAUUAAGUUAUCUGAAGAUAGUUUUGAAUCAGCAUAUAUAAAUUAUAUAUACACUAAUAAUAAAAUAUUCUCUUUUAAGGCUGCAUUUAUCUGACCAAAAAUACAGUAAAAAAUGUGAAAUAUUAUUACAAUAAAAAAAUAACUGUUUUCUAUGUGAAUAUAUAGUAAAAUAGAAUCUUCUGCAACAUUAUAAACAUUUUUACUGUCACUUUUGAUGAAUUUAAUGCGUCCUCAAGUGACAACAUCUGAAGACAACUGCAAUCCUUUGCUGUUAUAAACUGAGAAACAUUUUGGCUGUGCCUGAGACGACAUUGCUAAAGUGACAUUUGUAUUGUCAGACUGCUGACUUGACCUGAAAUGUUGUUGAGAUGGCAGAUAAAACUGUAAAGAUUGAUUUUUUGAUCCUGACUUUGGCUAAAACGGGGUGUCUUAGAAGCAUAAUGUUGUUCCCUACCUUCUCGAAUAAUACUAAAACAACACUGCCUUAAAAUACUCUCUAGGUAGUCAGCUCACUAGGUUUUGAUUUGAUUAGCAAUUAAUGAUCACUUAUAAACUCCUCAUGAACCCAAUUUAUCACACGCCAUAUGUAGUUAGUACUGAACGCUGUGCCGUAAGACGCAUAAAAACACUUCACAUAUAUACUUCAAUUUCGUUUCGUGUGAAUAUCUGCCUGAUGUCACGUCACGAAGCAGCUUCGUCGCUGUGACCUGUGUGUUCAUCAUUAGUUUGAUUCCUCUCCGCUCUCGUUCUGUCUCUAACGUUCACGUUGUGUUUCUCUUCCAGUCCAGUGUGCAGUAAUAAUGACCUGAGAUUUCCCAGAAUUCUCAUAAUGCUCAAAUGGAGUGCAAUGACAGAGCGUGACUGUGUCAUUCCCUUUUUUUACCAUGAUUGAAUCAUCUUAAUAUUUAUAGCUGUUAUAUGAAUCAUAUCAGUAUUUUUUUGAAAUUGACAAAGACACAGAAAAAACACAUAUAUAUAUAUGUUUCUGUUUUCAUCUGUUGAUCCUUCCUGUCGACUCAUUAUACUUCACACCUCAUAAAACACUGAAAAAUGAUGCAACAUCAAAGUUGAGUGAACACAAGCUGUCAAUCAAUCAGACGAGACCGAUGUCCCACCUGAGAGGAGUGUGACAGGAAGAUGUGAACAUUUCCCUGUGAAAGUGGGGAAAUAGACAUGUUGGGUGUGAUAAUGCUUAGUUACAAGUAGGCGAGUCAUUUGUGCACUACUAGUGGCAGCAAAUGGAACUACAAAAACAAUGCAGAAGCCCAGAGAGGUCAAUCAUGCAUUGUUAUUCUGAUCAAAGAAUUUAUUUAUUUAUUUGAUCAAAAAUACAGUAAAAAAUUGUGAAAUAUUAUUAUGAUUCAAAAUAGUUGUUUUCUAUGUGAAUAUAUAGUAAAGUGUAAUUUAUUCCUGUGAUCAAAGCUGAAUUUUCAGCAUCAUUACACCAGUCUUCAGUGUCAUAUGAUCCUUCAGAAAUCAUUCUAAUAUGAUGAUUUGCUGCUCAAGAAACAUUUAUGAUUAUUAUCAGUGUUGAAAAAGUAAAUGCCAUGCUCAAAAGAACAGUUUUUUCUUGAAAUAGUUUUUUAUUACACUGUAAAACUCACUUUUGAUCAAUUCAUUAUGGAAGCUUGUUUCCGCCACUAAAUAAAAAAAUAUAAAAAGGCAAUUGCGAUUUUUUAUCUCACAAUUCUGAUUUCUCAAUUUCUCAGAAUUGUGAGAUUUAAACUCACAAUUGUGUGAUAUAAAGUCAGAACUGUGUUAUAGUCAGAACUGAGUCGCAAUUCUGACUUUUUUCUUGAAAUUGCGAGUGACAUUUUCUCAGAACUGCGAGAUAUAAACUCACAGUUGCGAGUUAUAAAGUCAGAAUUGCGAGAACUUGCAAUUCUGAAAAUUUCCCUCACAAUUGGACAUUUUAACACGCAAUUUUCUAGUUUAAAUCUCACAAUUCUGACUUUAUAUCUCGCAAUUCUGACUUUAUAACACAAUUCUGACUUUAUAUCUCACAAUUGUGAGUUUAUAUCUUGCAAUUCUGAGUAAAAAGUCAAAACUGUGAGAUAUAAACUCGCAAUUUCAAGAAAAAUGUCAGAAUUGUGAGAUAAAAAGUCGCAAUUACAAGAAAAAAAGUCAGAAUUGUGAGAUAUAAACUCGCAAUUACAAGAAAAAAGUCAGAAUUGUGAUAUAAACUCACAAUUACAAGAAAAAUGUCAGAAUUGUGAGAUAAAAAGUCGCAAUUAAAAGAAAAAUGUCAGAAUUGUGAGAUAUAAACUCGCAAUUACAAGAAAAAUGUCAGAAUUGUGAGAUAAAAAGUCGCAAUUACAAGAAAAAAAUCAGAAUUGUGAGAUAAAAAGUCGCAAUUACAAGAAAAAUGUCAGAAUUGCGAGAUAAAAAGUCGCAAUUACAAAAAAAAGUCAGAAUUGUGAGAUAAAAAGUCGCAAUUACAAGAAAAAAAGAAUUGUGAGAUAAAAAGUCGCAAUUACAAGAAAAAAAGUCAGAAUUGUGAGAUAAAAAGUCGCAAUUACAAGAAAAAUGUCAGAAUUGUGAGAUAAAAAGUCGCAAUUACAAGAAAAAUGUCAGAAUUGUGAGAUAAAAAGUCGCAAUUACAAGAAAAAUGUCAGAAUUGUGAGAUAAAAACUCGCAAUUACAGGAAAAAAAGUCAGAAUUGUGAGAUAAAAAGUCACAAUUACAAGAAAAAAAGUCAGAAUUGUGAGAUAAAAAGUCGCAAUUACAAGAAAAAUGUCAGAAUUGUGAGAUAAAAAGUCACAAUUAC